UGUACAGUGAAGUGGCUGAUACCAUGCUUCCAGGAAAAGUCUCUAAGCUUCAGUUACACAGGAAUCGUACCCGAAACCGACACAGGUGGUCAGGUCGAGUAGACCAAAGCGCUUGAGAGAACUCUGCUGAAGGAACUAGGCAAAAUGGUACCGUAACUUCGGGAGAAGGUACGCUGCUGACGGUGAUGGGACUUGCUCCCUGAGCUAUUGGCAGCCACAGAAACCAGGCCGCUGCAACUGUUUAUUAAAAACAUAGCACUCUGCAAACACGAAAGUGGACGUAUAGGGUGUGAUGCCUGCCCGGUGCUGGAAGGUUAAUUGAUGGGGUUAGCGUAAGCGAAGCUCUUGAUCGAAGCCCCAGUAAACGGCGGCCGUAACUAUAACGGUCCUAAGGUAGCGAAAUUCCUUGUCGGGUAAGUUCCGACCUGCACGAAUGGCAUAAUGAUGGCGGCGCUGUCUCCAGCAGAGGCUCAGUGAAAUCGAAAUCGCUGUGAAGAUGCAGUGUACCCGCGGCUAGACGGAAAGACCCCGUGAACCUUUACUGCAGCUUGACAUUGAACUUUGACCUUACUUGUGUAGGAUAGGUGGGAGGCUUUGAAGUUGGAACGCUAGUUCCAAUGGAGCCGUCCUUGAAAUACCACCCUGGUAAUGUUGAGGUUCUAACUCUGUCCCGUUAUCCGGGACGAGGACCAUGUCUGGUGGGUAGUUUGACUGGGGCGGUCUCCUCCUAAAGAGUAACGGAGGAGUACGAAGGUGCGCUCAGCGUGGUCGGAAAUCACGCGUAGAGUAUAAAGGCAAAAGCGCGCUUAACUGCGAGACCCACAAGUCGAGCAGGUACGAAAGUAGGUCUUAGUGAUCCGGUGGUUCUGUAUGGAAGGGCCAUCGCUCAACGGAUAAAAGGUACUCUGGGGAUAACAGGCUGAUACCGCCCAAGAGUUCAUAUCGACGGCGGUGUUUGGCACCUCGAUGUCGGCUCAUCUCAUCCUGGGGCUGAAGCAGGUCCCAAGGGUAUGGCUGUUCGCCAUUUAAAGAGGUACGCGAGCUGGGUUUAGAACGUCGUGAGACAGUUCGGUCCCUAUCUACCGUGGGCGCUGGAAAUUUGAGAGGAUCUGCUCCUAGUACGAGAGGACCAGAGUGGACGAACCUCUGGUGUACCGGUUGUGACGCCAGUCGCAUCGCCGGGUAGCUAUGUUCGGAAGGGAUAACCGCUGAAAGCAUCUAAGCGGGAAGCCUACCUCAAGAUAAGAUUUCCCUAGGAAUUUAUUCCUCUAAAGAGCCGUUCGAGACUAGGACGUUGAUAGGUUGGGUGUGGAAGCACGGUGACGUGUGAAGCUGACCAAUACUAAUUGCUCGUGAGGCUUGACUAU
rnacentral:rRNA from 1 species